CUACCAUGCAGUCGAACGAUGAACCACUUCGGUGGGGAUUAGUGGCGAACGGGUGAGUAACACGUGGGCAAUCUGCCCUGCACUCUGGGACAAGCCCUGGAAACGGGGUCUAAUACCGGAUACUGACCCUCGCAGGCAUCUGCGAGGUUCGAAAGCUCCGGCGGUGCAGGAUGAGCCCGCGGCCUAUCAGCUUGUUGGUGAGGUAAUGGCUCACCAAGGCGACGACGGGUAGCCGGCCUGAGAGGGCGACCGGCCACACUGGGACUGAGACACGGCCCAGACUCCUACGGGAGGCAGCAGUGGGGAAUAUUGCACAAUGGGCGAAAGCCUGAUGCAGCGACGCCGCGUGAGGGAUGACGGCCUUCGGGUUGUAAACCUCUUUCAGCAGGGAAGAAGCGAAAGUGACGGUACCUGCAGAAGAAGCGCCGGCUAACUACGUGCCAGCAGCCGCGGUAAUACGUAGGGCGCAAGCGUUGUCCGGAAUUAUUGGGCGUAAAGAGCUCGUAGGCGGCUUGUCACGUCGGUUGUGAAAGCCCGGGGCUUAACCCCGGGUCUGCAGUCGAUACGGGCAGGCUAGAGUUCGGUAGGGGAGAUCGGAAUUCCUGGUGUAGCG
rnacentral:rRNA from 1 species